UCGAGAAUCUUCGGCAAUGGGCGCAAGCCUGACCGAGCGACGCCGCGUGCGGGAUGAAGGCCUUCGGGUUGUAAACCGCUGUCAGAGGGGAUGAAAGUCAGGCGGGCUCUCCCGUUUGAUUGACAUAGCCUCAGAGGAAGGACGGGCUAAAUUCGUGCCAGCAGCCGCGGUAAUACGAAUCGUCCUAACGUUGUUCGGAUUCACUGGGUUUAAAGGGUGCGUAGGCGGUGCGUUAAGUCGGUGGUGAAAUACUUUGGCUCAACCAGAGAAUUGCCGCUGAAACUAGCGUGCUCGAGGGAGGUAGAGGUGCAUGGAACUUCCGGUGGAGCGGUGAAAUGCGUUGAUAUCGGAAGGAACACCUGUGGCGAAAGCGGUGCACUGGACCUCUUCUGACGCUGAGGCACGAAAGCCAGGGGAGCGAACGG
rnacentral:rRNA from 1 species